CCUCGGGGGCGGGGGAGGCCAUUGGCGGGGUCAUCCUGCCUCUCGCUUUGCAGAGUCCGCGGGGAUUGCGUGAAGGACGCGUUCGGACGCUGCGGCGGGUGUUAGAAGGGGAAAGCCUUAACGCCUUGCGGAGUGCGGGCUUGGUUCCGCGGUGUGCUGGGCUGCGUGUUGCUCAUACAAGUCCACAACGUGGGCAUCUGCCUGAUUGACAGUUAGAGUGGGUGAAGCAGGCAAAGCAGAAGUGGAAGGAGAUGCAACACUAGAAGAAGAAGGAAACAAAGAAGAACUCAUUUGCCAAAGAGUUGAAUUCACAAGUCAGAAUAUUGGAUUCUAGAAAGCACGCAUUAAAAG